rnacentral:rRNA from 1 species
UACCAGAAAGGGACGGCUAACUACGUGCCAGCAGCCGCGGUAAUACGUAGGUCCCAAGCGUUGUCCGGAUUUACUGGGCGUAAAGUGUCCGUAGUCUGAUCUGUAAGUCUGUUUUCAAAUCCUACGACUCAAUCGUAGAAAGGGAAUGGAUACUGCAGAUCUAGAAGUAUCUAGGGGUUAGUGGAAUUUCCGGUGGAGCGGUGAAAUGCGUUGAUAUCGGAAGGAACGCCGAAAGCGAAAGCAGCUAACUAUAGAAUACUUGACGAUGAGGGACGACAGUUUGGGGAGCAAACAGGAUUAGAUACCCUGGUAGUCCAAACCGUAAAUUAUGCUUGCUAGAUGUUUUUAUCAGUUUACUGGUAGGAGUGUCGUAAUCUAACGAGUUAAGCAAGCCGCCUGGGUAGUAUAUUCGCAAGAAUGAAACUCAAAGGGAUAGGCGGGGGAACACACAAGCAGUGGAUUAUCUAGAUUAAUUGGAUAAUAAGCCAAGAAUCUUACCUAGGAUUGACAUGUAUUGUGUCUCAGGUGAAAGCCUGAUAUCCGUAGCAAUACGGAGCUUUACACAGGUGGUGCAUGGUCGUCGUCAGCUCGUGCCGCAAGGUGUCUAGUUAAGUCUGGAAACGAGCGCAACCCUCGUGUUUAGUUAGUAUGUCUAAACAGACUGCUCGGGUAACCGAGAGGAAGGAGAGGAUGACGUCAGAUCCUCAUGCCCCUUACACCUAGGGCCUCAUAGAUAAUACAAUGGGUAGGUACAGCGAGAAGCGAAACCGCGAGGUGGAGCAAAUCUUUAAAACUGCCCUUAGUUCGGAUUGUACUCUGCAACUCGAGUACAUGAAGUUGGAAUUGCUAGUAAUGGCAGAUCAGCCAUGCUGCCGUGAAUACGUCCCUGUUCCUUGCACUCACCGCCCGUCAAACCAUGGGAGCUGAGGUUCUUUGAAGACUCAUUAUAUGGGUUAAGGAGGGAAUCAGUGACUGGGGUUAAGUCGUAACAAGGCAUCCCUACCGGAAGGUGGGGAUA